GGAAUCUUGCGCAAUGGGCGAAAGCCUGACGCAGCAACGCCGCGUGCGGGAAGAAGGCUUUCGGGCUGUAAACCGCUUUCAGCAGGAACGAAAAUGACGGUACCUGCAGAAGAAGGAGCGGCCAACUAUGUGCCAGCAGCCGCGGUGAUACAUAGGCUUCAAGCGUUGUCCGGAUUUAUUGGGCGUAAAGAGUUCGUAGGCGGUCGAGUAAGUCGGGUGUGAAAAUUCUGGGCUCAACCCAGAGACGCCACCCGAUACUGCUUAACUUGAGUUCGAUAGGGGAGUGGGGAAUUCCUAGUGUAGCGGUGAAAUGCGCAGAUAUUAGGAGGAACACCGGUGGCGAAGGCGCCACUCUGGAUCGACGCUGACGCUGAGGAACGAAAGCAUGGGUAGCAAACAGGAUUAGAUACCCUGGUAGUCCAUGCGGUAAACGGUGGGCACUAGGUGUGGGUUUCUAUUAACGAAAUCCGCGCCGUCGCUAACGCAUUAAGUGCCCCGCCUGGGGAGUACGGUCGCAAGACUAAAACUCAAAGGAAUUGACGG
rnacentral:rRNA from 1 species